GAUGAACGCUGGCGGCGUGCCUAAUACAUGCAAGUCGAGCGACCGGACAAGAAGCUCUUUUCCCUACUGUUAGCGGCGGACGGGCGAGUAACACGUGGAUAACCAACCUAUAUGACUGGGAUAACUACGGGAAAAAGGAGACACUAACACCUCAUAUUUUGAACCGCAUAGAUCAAAAGUGCAUGACGGCCUUGCCGUCUCUAUUAGCUGGAUCCGGGCUGCAUUAGCUAGUUGGUAAGGUAACGGCUUACCAAGGCAACGAUGCAUAGCCGAUCUGAGAGGGUGAUCAGCCACACUGGAACUGAGACACGGUCCAGACUCCUACGGGAGGCAGCAGUGGGGAAUAUUCCGCAAUGGGCGAAAGCCUGACGCAGCAACGCCGCGUGGGUGAUGAAGGCCUUCGGAUCGUAAAGCCCUUUUAUUAGGGAAGAAAAUAAGUGUAUGUAACUGUGCACAUCUUGACGGUACCCAAACAAAAAGCCACGGCUAACUUCGUG
rnacentral:rRNA from 1 species